UGGAAGGUAAUUCGCGCCCGCACGCGUGCAUAUGUGGAACAAAGAGGGACACACAGCGUCGCUCUCUUCUGCCUCCCCCCCUUCACUCCACUCCACAAUAGCCGCACUUCUGCACAUCAUUGCUCAGCCUUGCGUUCAUCAGUCCCUUCCCCCUCCUCCCCCACUCCUUUACUAGGCUCACGGGCCAUAACACGAUACGAACUGUGAGGAAAACACACCGCCAAGGUGGGUGCACUUUACGGUUUCUGGCGUGAGCGGUCCAGACACGCGGGGGGGAUUAUCGCCUUGCAUAACAGAGAUCGCCUUUGAAGCGGGCGAGAAACAAGCCACGGCGACACGCGUCUGGUGGGUGCCCGUAGCGGUGGCGUCCCACCCCCUCCCUCCCCGCCGUUCUCCGCUUCUAACUCAUCCGACACAUGCGCACAUCUUUAUAGCAAAGCGUUGCGAUAUCGCAGGUACCAAUAGACCCAAGGAGGAGAGGGUAUACGCACGCACGCAUACACGGACACAAGCGUGCAGGGAGGCAGCGCACUCAGACACUCCAUCAUUGAUACGGGCUUCUGUGCGUGGACUCCUGCAUUGUAUUUGUGAGGCAGCAGUAGCAGCAGUCCUAGUGAACGUGGUCGUGUGCGCGUGUGCGUGGCGGUGCACGUGCUUACACCCCCUCGCCAAAGUGUAGCGGUUGAGCCACGGACGGAUGCAAGUCAGCUGCGCCGGACCCAAACCCUGCCCCGCUGCCUUAUCCUUUUCGAAUCACUCCCUCUUUUCUUUCGCCUUUGCUGUUGUGCUUCGACAGACCCGCGCUAACCCUCCCCGAAGAUGCGUCGCGGCGCCAAGUGCCUCGCCGGCGCGGCUGCGGACGUGGGCUCACUGAAGUUCGACGUCGUCGUGGUUGGCGGCGGCGCCAGCGGCUCCCUUAUUGCCGGCCGGCUGGCGAUGGAGAACCUUAAGACGCUCGUCAUCGAGGAAGGCGCCGAUAUCCGCAAGUGCCCGGAGUGGUACCACACGCUUCCCGCUAGCACCAUCGCCCAUCGCCUGGCUCAGCGCGGCUUCGAGGCCAAGGACACUCUGACGACGCCGCAGCAGCAUCCGGACGGGGUGACGAAGGCACCGGUGUGGAUUCCGACGCCGCGGGUGCUGGGCGGACAUGGUGUAAUGGGCAGUCGCACGUGGAACCUCGGCGAUGAGCGUGACUGGGAGGGGAGCCCGUGGAGCUUCCGCGAAGAGCUGCUGCCUCGCGUGCGCACCUUCGAAAACAUGGAGGUGUUUGUGCCUCACCGCGGCAAGCGAGGUAAGUUCCUCAUUUGCCGCCCGCUGAACUUCUCACCGUACUUUAAGGCGUUUUGCGAGGCAGCAUCGCAGGAUGUGCCGCUCAUGAGCGAGUUCACGCGCAAGGAGUUCCAGAUCGACUGCGGCUGUGGGAGGCCCGACACGUUCGUAGACCAGUCGCUGGGUGUCGCCAACACCACCCUGCAGCGGUACCUGCUCGGCACCAUCAAGCUGAACCGCCCUGUUCGCGUGGAGUGCGGUGCCAAGGUGGUCGGUAUCCGCGGCAGCGGCGGCAACGCGAGCACCGCUGCCGGCGUGUCGCUGCGGCGUGCAGAUGGCCAGUUGGUGGAUGUGGAAAGCACUCUGGUGGUGGUGAGUGCGGGUAGUAUCGGCAGCGCGCGGCUGCUGACGGCGUCGCGCGGCAGCGUCGAUGUGGACGCUUCAGUUGGGCAGCACUUCUGGGACAUACCGCAGGUGGUGCUGCAGUACCACGUGAAGAACCGUGACAGCCACAACUGCUAUCUUGACCCGCUUGUGUGCAAGGUGCUGAGGGUGGAUCUUUGGUACGGACGGCCACAGCUUAGCCUCCGCUCCAGCUGGGAUGACCUCAUCAUGUACUGGUCCUCUACCGGGUCAUCGACGCCAGAUGUCGAGAUCCAGUUUCAGCCAUUUACGCUGACGAACGAUGGCACGCAGCCGAUGCCGAGAGAGCACGGCUGCCAGUUCGUCGUGCGCCCCCUGCGGCCGCGCAGUCGCGGGCAGGUGAGCGCGAACGGCAGCAUCGACCCCAACUACUUCAGCGAUGCCGGCGACCUCGCCGCCCUGCAGAGGGGCGUCGCGUAUGUGAAGGACUGCCUCGUGAAGAAGACGCCUUUUGUACCGAUCAUUGGCGCCCUCGCUCACGAGCGCCUUGAGUCCUCCGGCAUCAACGGCGGGAGCUGCGCCGGCGCCGUCGACCCGCAGACCUGCCGCCUCAAGGGCGUGAGCAAUGUGUACGUGUGCGAUCACAGCAUCCUGCCGAGCCCGCUAACUGGCAGUACGCUCCCUUACACGUUGGCGCUGGCGGACCGAUUUGUGGACAAGCUGCUCAAGAGGCGCGAUGUGAAGCACAAGGAGGCAGAAGACCCCGUUGCACAGGCAACGCGCAUCGUCUAUUAGGCGGCGCCUUUGGUAUGGCCGCAGCUUUUACAGCUGCCAGUGUUGGGGAGCGUCGCCGUGUGGAUCAUUGCAGCCGGGGCGAGACUAGUUCACCAGGCGCACUUUCUCUCCGAUGGCCGGGCGCAUGCCCUCCGCUCGCCUGCCGCUGGCGUCUCGCUUGCCGUGCGGUCUGUGUGGAUGUGCGCGCGUGCGCGUCUUCUUUCGUUCACAUUCCUUAACUUGUUCUCAUCAAGUUUCACAGCGGCCACAUUUGCCUUAAGUAUAUACAUAUAUAUAUGCUGUCCCUGACUCGGUGCGUGUGUCUCUUACUCCUCCUGUUGAGUGCCCUUCCUGUGGAUCUCUGUGCUUGCCGGGCAUGAUGUCUUGGGGUACUCGUUGCUGCUGUUGUGAUGGCGGUGACUUGCUGUGCAUGUGUGUGAGUGUGUGUGCGUGCACUUUAAUCCAAGGCCCCGCAGUUCCUCUGCCUCGUCUCUUUUCGUGCUGUUUUCGUUUUCCUUUCGAGUGACCCCUGAUGAUGCCGGUCAUCUCAG
rnacentral:misc_RNA from 1 species